UACGUAGGGUGCGAGCGUUGUCCGGAAUUAUUGGGCGUAAAGAGCUCGUAGGCGGUCUGUCGCGUCUGCUGUGAAAAAUCCAGGGCUCAACCCUGGACCUGCAGUGGGUACGGGCAGACUAGAGUGCGGUAGGGGAGAUCGGAAUUCCUGGUGUAGCGGUGAAAUGCGCAGAUAUCAGGAAGAACACCAAUGGCGAAGGCAGCUCUCUGGGACGGUACUGACGCUGAGACGCGAAAGCGUGGGGAGCGAACAGG
rnacentral:rRNA from 1 species